rfam:Gossypium raimondii Chr10_contig_15, whole genome shotgun sequence.
UGUCAAAAUUUUCAUCCAUUUCUCUGGUUAAAAAUUAACAUGACUGACGAAAUAAUCAAUUAUUUACACGUGUUGUAUCAUAUGUACUCAUGUUGACGUAUGGUAACUACUUUUUAACAAUAAAAAUGAAUGAAUUUUUAACC